rnacentral:lncRNA from 1 species
CUCUUUCUCCCUUUAGGGAUUUCAAUCAAAAUUUCACCUCCUCCUUUCCUUUAUUUAAACUUGGCCCGCUCGUGUUGAUUGUUGCACUCAGUGGAAGACCCCUCCUUGUUAAUGUCUUGUUUUGCUUUUUCUUGGCAUUCCUUUGACACUUCAAAAUCAAAUGAAAUCUAGAUUAAAAAAACAUAAAACAAUCAAAUAGUAUUACUUUUCUGUCAAAUAUUGGCUACCUCAGUCAACAUUUAAGUGUAUUAGUAACUGAUAUCAAAAUUUUGAAUUCCCAACCCUCGACAGUGUGUGUGUAUAUAUAUAUAUUAUCUUCGCCUUUUUCUUUGAACAACACUACUCUCUCAUCGAGUAUUUAACCCAUCUCUUCGCUUGAGUAACUCAUUCAAUUAUUUCUCUCUUCAUUCUCUACCUGGCAUUAUAUUUCAACUAUCGGUGUUGCCUUCUUCUCUAAAACCUGAAGUCCAUACCUACAUCAGAUUCCAAUUUCUCCAUUCCAACACAAAUCUCUCCUCC